GACGAACGCUGGCGGCGUGCUUAACACAUGCAAGUCGAACGGAAAGGCCCUGCUUUUGUGGGGUGCUCGAGUGGCGAACGGGUGAGUAACACGUGAGUAACCUGCCCUUGACUUUGGGAUAACUUCAGGUAACUGGGGCUAAUACCGGACAGGAGCUCCUGCUGCAUGGUGGGGGUUGGAAAGUUUCGGCGGUCGGGGAUGGACUCGCGGCUUAUCAGCUUGUUGGUGGGGUAGUGGCUUACCAAGGCUUUGACGGGUAGCCGGCCUGAGAGGGUGACCGGCCACAUUGGUACUGAGAUACGGCCCAGACGGCUACGGUAGGCAGCAGUGGGGAAUAUUGCACAAUGGGCGGAAGCCGGAUGCAGCAACGCCGCGUGCGGGAUGACGGCCGUCGGGUUGUAAACCGCUUUCGCCUAUGACGAAGCGGGAGUGACGGUAAUGGGUAAAGAAGCACCGGCUAACUACGUG
rnacentral:rRNA from 1 species